rnacentral:rRNA from 1 species
ACGAGUGGCGAACUGGUGAGUAACACGUGGGUAACCUGCCCUUGAAGUAGGGGAUAACACUUGGAAACAGGUGCUAAUACCGUAUAACAACCAAAACCACCUGGUUUUGGUUUAAAAGAUGGCUUCGGCUAUCACUUUAGGAUGGACCCGCGGCGUAUUAGCUUGUUGGUAAGGUAACGGCCUACCAAGGCAAUGAUACGUAGCCGACCUGAGAGGGUAAUCGGCCACAUUGGGACUGAGACACGGCCCAAACUCCUACGGGAGGCAGCAGUAGGGAAUCUUCCACAAUGGACGAAAGUCUGAUGGAGCAACGCCGCGUGAGUGAUGAAGGGUUUCGGCUCGUAAAACUCUGUUGUUGGAGAAGAACAGGUGUGAGAGUAACUGUUCACAUCUUGACGGUAUCCAACCAGAAAGCCACGGCUAACUACGUGCCAGCAGCCGCGGUAAUACGUAGGUGGCAAGCGUUGUCCGGAUUUAUUGGGCGUAAAGCGAGCGCAGGCGGUUUCUUAGGUCUGAUGUGAAAGCCUUCGGCUUAACCGGAGAAGUGCAUCGGAAACCAGGAGACUUGAGUGCAGAAGAGGACAGUGGAACUCCAUGUGUAGCGGUGAAAUGCGUAGAUAUAUGGAAGAACACCAGUGGCGAAGGCGGCUGUCUGGUCUGUAACUGACGCUGAGGCUCGAAAGC